GCGUGCUUAACACAUGCAAGUCGAACGAAGUGGCGGACGGGUGAGUAACGCGUGGGUAACCUGCCCUGUACAGGGGAAUAACAGUUAGAAAUGACUGCUAACACCGCAUAGUACAGGAUGGGCCCGCGUCUGAUUAGCCAGUUGGCAGGGUAACGGCCUACCAAAGCAACGAUCAGUAGCCGGCUUGAGAGAGUGAACGGCCACAUUGGGACUGAGACACGGCCCAAACUCCUGCGGGAGGCAGCAGUGGGGAAUACUGCACAAUGGGGGAAACCCUGAUGCAGCGACGCCGCGUGAGUGAAGAAGUAUUUCGGUAUGUAAAGCUCUAUCAGCAGGGAAGCGGUACCUGACUAAGAAGCCCCGGCUAACUACGUGCCAGCAGCCGCGGUAAUACGUAGGGGGCAAGCGUUAUCCGGAUUUACUGGGUGUAAAGGGUGCGUAGGUGGUCUGGCAAGUCAGAAGUGAAAACGCAGGGCUUAACCCUGCGACUGCUUUUGAAACUGUCAGACUGGAGUGCAGGAGAGGCAAGCGGAAUUCCUAGUGUAGCGGUGAAAUGCGUAGAUAUU
rnacentral:rRNA from 1 species